GGGCGUGUGGUCUAGGGGUAUGAUGUUCGCUUCGCAUGCGAAAGGUCGAGGGUUCAAUUCCCUCCUCGUCCA